AAAAACUUGCAAUUAUUGAAAAUCAUUUUAAAACCCUGUGUCACUUAAGUCAAUAUGGAAUAUGUGAUGGUAGAGUAUGAGUUUCUUAUUCUUGAUAUCAUUGCUACUUGGGGAAUUUAUUUCAAAAUAAAAUUCUAGCUACCAUCCUUAGUGUUUUAUGCCUGAUAAGACUGAAAAUAUUAAUUAUGAUUAUAAAAGCUAUCUACUCUGUAUUGAGUUUGUUCAAAAUGAGUUAGACCCUUGUUGAGAGAUUUAUCAUGCUCCUAAGAUCAAGACAUUAUUUCAGAAAGAUUCACUCUUCCGAAGUAUUAUUGCAUUAGAGGCAUGGGCAAUGCAAAAAUAGAAAUAUUUCGAGGAAAUAAAAAGGAGCAAGUGCUCGACAACCUCGCAGAAAAAAUGGACAAGUGUCUGGCAGUAGAAUUAGGGGUACCUCAGUAUCCACUUAAAAAAAAGAGAGAAGAGAAAAGAGAAAAAAAUGAUAGUCCAUGGUCCCUCUAAUAAGCAAUAUGCCAGCAAGAGUUGACAAAGAUUUUAAUUUCCAAAGUCUUUGAUCUAAGAGUAUGACAUUCCCCUCCUCGGAUCCCGUUUUGAUCAGGCAAUAAAUGCAAAGUAAGUAUGCUUGAGAAUUUUUGCAAAAAUAAAACAGCCUCAGUGAGAUAUAUAUAAAAGAUAAUGAGUGAUCUGAGAGAACCUAUGAGGAUCAAAGGUAUGCUAACUUUCUUUCAAAAAAAAUAUACAAAAAGCUCCAAGUGACAGGAUUGAGAAGAAAGGAUCUUUACUCUUGAUCAUAAACUUCCCUGACUAUGGUACACAGUGGAAUUUUUAAACACCCUGCAAUUAUAAAGAGAAUGUUUUAAAUGUUUACCCC
rnacentral:lncRNA from 1 species